UAAAGUUUGGUACUAAGUGACAUAGUUUAGUGUUGUUUGACAUAUCAGUCAAAUUUGACAGAUUGACAGUUUUUGUCGUUUUCAGUGAAAAUUAUCUUUUUGGGAUAGAAUUUAGCACCCAGUGACAUUGUUAAGUGACGAUUUAUAUUAUCUCUCAUUUCUGUGCUGUCAGGAGUGGCCGCGGCACGCAGGAGCACGCGCCGCGCCAGUCGUCGAGGUCCAUGGCCCAGAGCGCGGCGCCGCGCAGGCCCGCGCGCAUGCCCAGUGACGUCAUCAGGUGCACUUCCUCCGGAAGCAGCUGCAUGGAGAUGGAGACGGGCGCGGCGGGGUGCAUGUUCCGGCGGUCGCCGCACGAGUCCUUGCGCGGGAAGUCGCACUGGCCGUUGGGUCCCCACACCAGCCCGGGCGCGCAGCUCUGCGCCACCAGCUGGCCGUUCAC